rnacentral:rRNA from 1 species
AGAGUUUGAUCCUGGCUCAGAAUGAACGCUGGCGGCGCGCCUAAUACAUGCAAGUCGAGCGAGAAGACGUAGCAAUACGUUUGUAAAGCGGCGAACGGGUGAGGAAUACAUGGGUAACCUACCCUUGAGUGGGGAAUAACUAGCCGAAAGGUUAGCUAAUACCGCGUACGCUCCUUGGACUUCGGUUCAGGGAGGAAAGCGCUACCGUGGGUAGCGCGCUCUUGGAUGGGCUCAUGUCCUAUCAGCUUGUUGGUGAGGUAACGGCUCACCAAGGCUUCGACGGGUAGCUGGUCUGAGAGGACGAUCAGCCACACUGGCACUGCGACACGGGCCAGACUCCUACGGGAGGCAGCAGUAAGGAAUAUUGCGCAAUGGGCGAAAGCCUGACGCAGCGACGCCGCGUGGGGGAUGAAGGUCUUCGGAUUGUAAACCCCUUUCGGGAGGGAAGAUGGAAUGGGGUAACCCAUUUGGACGGUACCUCCAGAAGCAGCC